rnacentral:rRNA from 1 species
AGGAUAAACGCUGGCGGCGUGCCUAACACAUGCAAGUCGAACGCCCUUGAGCAAUCAAGGGAGUGGCGGACGGGUGAGUAACACGUGGGUACCUACCCCAAGGUGAGGAAUACCGGCGAGAAAUCGCCGACAAUACCGCAUACGUUUCGUAAGAAACAAAGCUCGCAAGGGCGCCAUGGGAAGGGCCUGCGGCCGAUUAGCUGGUUGGUGAGGUAAAAGCUUACCAAGGCGACGAUCGGUAGCUGGUCUGAGAGGAUGAUCAGCCACACUGGGAUUGAGAACGGCCCAGACUCCUACGGGGGGCAGCAGUGAGGAAUUUUCGUCAAUGGGGGCAACCCUGAACGAGCAACGCCGCGUGCAGGAAGAAGGUUUUCGGAUCGUAAACUGCUUUUCUCUGGGACGAGAACGGACGGUACCAGAGGAAUCAGCCCCGGCUAACUACGUGCCAGCAGCCGCGGUAAUACGUAGGGGGCAAGCGUUGUCCGGAUUUAUUGGGCGUAAAGCGCGCGCAGGCGGUCUGCCAAGUUCGGAGUGACAGUUUCCGGCUUAACCGGAAAAGGUCUUCGAAAACUGGUGGACUUGAGGACUUGAGGGGGAGACGGAAUUCCGGGUGGAGCGGUGAAAUGCGUAGAGAUCCGGAGGAACACCGAAAGCGAAGGCAGUCUCCUGGCAAGUUUCUGACGCUCAGGUGCGAAAGCUAGGGGAGCGAACAGGAUUAGAUACCCUGGUAGUCCUAGCCGUAAACGAUGACCACUAGGCGUGGGAGGUAUCGACCCCUUCUGUGCCGCAGCUUACGCAGUAAGUGGUCCGCCUGGGGAGUACGGUCGCAAGAUUAAA